ensembl:lncRNA
CGGCACCGCCCCGCGCCUUUCCUAUUGGGCGGUGUGCGCGACUCGGUCUCUCAUUGGCAGUCUCCUCGCCGUCAGUCACCCGGAGCCAGUGUGCACUGUGUUGAACCCAAAAACACCUGCAAACCAACCUGCUGUUUUGGUGCUGGCCAACGGACUCCAUUUUGCCCCUCCACAUCAAUCUCCAGAAAACACGUACAACUUUACUGUUGAGAUUUCAAUCCUUUUUCAUUUAGUUGAACGUCGUCAACGUGCUUACAGAUCAACCUUGAAG